rnacentral:misc_RNA from 1 species
UAAUGGCACAGAAUAUGUUAAUGGAGUUUUUCGUGCUUAUCUAGACUCUAAUGGUAUAUUACAUCAUACUAGUUGUGUUAGCACAAGUGAGCAUAAUGGGGUAUCUGAGAGGAAGAACGGACAUUUACUAGAGGUGGAUAGGUCUCUAAUGUUCAUUAUGAAUCUCCCUAAACCUUAUUGGGGUGAUGCUGUUUUAGCUGCAACUUAUCUUAUCAAUAGAAUGCAACUUAGAACAUUAAAUUUUAAGAGUCCUUUAGAAGUCCUACAGGGUACCAAUUCUUAUGUUGUUCCACCAAAGAUCUUUGGGUAUGUUUGUUUUGUUCAUAAAACUAAUAUGGGGAAGCUAGAACCUAGAGCUCUUACGUUUGUGUUUGUUGGAUAUUCUGGAACUCAACAAGGGUAUAAAUGUUAUCAUCCUCCAUCCAAAAAGUACUUUGUGAGCAUGGAUGUUGCUUUUAGGGAAACUGAAUCUUAUUUCUCUACACAGUCACCUCUUCAGGGGGAGCAUAGAGAGGAAGAGUUGUCUUUUAACCAACCUUUU